AUAUUGAAGUGAAAGGUUAUUGGGAAUGGAACCCUAGGUCAGUAGAAGUUCCUUUAAAAGGCCGGCUGGUUGAAUAGGGAAUAUAUAUAUGACUGAUUUUUCUGCCCUCGAGGAAGUAGGACAGGGAGAAUAAGUUUAAAUAGAAUAUAGAAACUUUAUUCUUUACUCUUUAGGAGCAAUGGUGAGGAAGUUUCUGUAGUAACUGCUGUUCUGUAAAAAGAGGAGGGCAGGCAGCCAGGUGUGGGCACUGCACUCUGAGCAGGUGUGGGCACUGCACACUGAGCAGGUGUGGGCACUGCACUCUGAGCAGGUGUGGGCACUGCACACUGAGCAGGUGUGGGCACUGCACACUGAGCAGGUGUGGGCACUGCACUCUGAGCAGGUGUGGGCACUGCACUCUGAGCAGGUGUGGGCACUGCACUCUGAGCAGGUGUGGGCACUGCACACUGAGCAGGUGUGGGCACUGCACACUGAGCAGGCCUCGGACUGCUGCUGUGGGG